GACGAACGCUGGCGGCGUGCCUAAUACAUGCAAGUAGAACGCUGAAGAAAGGAGCUUGCUCUUCUUGGAUGACUUGCGAACGGGUGAGUAACGCGUAGGUAACCUGCCUUGUAGCGGGGGAUAACUAUUGGAAACGAUAGCUAAUACCGCAGAACAAUGGGUGACACAUGUCAUUUAUUUGAAAGGGGCAAUUGCUCCACUACAAGAUGGACCUGCGUUGUAUUAUCUAGUAGGUGAGGUAACGGCUCACCUAGGCGACGAUACAUAGCCGACCUGAGAGGGUGAUCGGCCACACUGGGACUGAGACACGGCCCAUACUCCUACGGGAGGCAGCAGUAGGGAAUCUUCGGAAAUGUAGGAAACCCUGACCGACCAACGCCACGUGAGUGAACAAGGUUUUCGGAUCGUAAAGCUCUGUUGUAAGUCAAGAACGAGUGUGACAGUGGAAAGUUCACACUGUGACGGUCCCUUACCAGACAGGGACGGCUAACUACGUGCCAUCAGCCGCGGUCAUACGUAGGUCCCGAGCGUUGUCCGGAUUUAUUGGGCGUAAAGCGAGCGCAGGCGGUUUGAUUUGUCUGAUGUUAAAGGCUGUGGCUCAACCAUAGUUCGCUUUGGAAACUGUCUACUUGAGUGCAAAAUGAGAGAGUGGAAUUCCAUGUGUAGCGGUGAAAUGCGUAGAUAUAUGGAGGAACACCGGUGGCGAAAGCGGCUCUCUGGCCUGUAUCUGACUCUGAGUCUCGAAAGCGUGGGCAGCGACAGGAUGAGAUACCCUUGUAGUCCAAGGGCGAAUUCCACAGUGGACUGCAGCCCGGUCGAUCCCCUGACCUCGAGGGGCGGCACCGUGGCCCACGUCUUUUUCCCUUUUUUGGUUUUAUUAAAUGAAGCUAUGGCCUGUGCCCUGCUGUGGCUGUGUGUGCUAGGUGGUUGUGUGUAGUGAUGGUAGAGUGUGCCUGUAGCUCUGUGUGGUUUGGUUGGUUUUGUGUUUAUGUGUUGUGUGCGUG
rnacentral:rRNA from 1 species